rnacentral:rRNA from 1 species
GACGAACGCUGGCGGCGUGCCUAAUACAUGCAAGUCGAGCGAAGCGGCGGAUGGGUGAGUAACGCGUGGGUAACCUGCCCUCAAGUCUGGGAUACCAUUUGGAAACAGAUGCCAAUACCGGAUACUAACGGAUGGACCUGCGAUGCAUUAGCUAGUUGGUAAGGUAACGGCUUACCAAGGCGAUGAUGCAUAGCUGGGGUGAGAGAAUGAUCGGCCACAUUGGGACUGAGACACGGCCCAAACUCCUACGGGAGGCAGCAGUAGGGAAUAUUCCACAAUGGGCGAAAGUCUGAUAGAGCAACGCCGCGUGAGUGAAGAAGGUUUUCGGAUCGUAAAGCUCUGUUGUUGGUGAAGCGGUAAUCAACCAGAAAGUCACGGCUAACUACGUGCCAGCAGCCGCGGUAAUAC